rnacentral:rRNA from 1 species
CCUACGGGAGGCAGCAGUGGGGAAUAUUGCACAAUGGGGGAAACCCUGAUGCAGCGACGCCGCGUGAGCGAUGAAGUAUUUCGGAAUGUAAAGCUCUAUCAGCAGGGAAGAAAAUGACGGUACCUGACUAAGAAGCCCCGGCUAACUACGUGCCAGCAGCCGCGGUAAUACGUAGGGGGCAAGCGUUAUCCGGAUUUACUGGGUGUAAAGGGAGCGUAGACGGUCCUGCAAGCCAGAUGGGAAAGCUCGGGGCUCAACCCCGGGACUGCAUUUGAAACUGUAAGGCUAGAGUGUCGGAGAGGCAGGCGGAAUUCCUAGUGUAGCGGUGAAAGGCGUAGAUAUUAGGAGGAACACCAGUGGCGAAGGCGGCCUGCUGGACGAUGACUGACGUUGAGGCUCGAAAGCGUGGGGAGCAAACAGGAUUAGAUACCCUUGUAGUC